CAGCAGUAGCCGCGGUAAUACAGAGGGUGCGAGCGUUAAUCGGAUUUACUGGGCGUAAAGCGUGCGUAGGCGGCUUCUUAAGUCGGAUGUGAAAUCCCUGAGCUUAACUUAGGAAUUGCAUUCGAUACUAGGAAGCUAGAGUAUGGGAGAGGAUGGUAGAAUUCCAGGUGUAGCGGUGAAAUGCGUAGAGAUCUGGAGGAAUACCGAUGGCGAAGGCAGCCAUCUGGCCUAAUACUGACGCUGAGGUACGAAAGCAUGGGGAGCAAACAGGAUUAGAUACCCCCGUAGUCCCUGUCUCUUAUAA
rnacentral:rRNA from 1 species